rnacentral:rRNA from 1 species
UACGGAGGGUGCAAGCGUUAUCCGGAUUUACUGGGUUUAAAGGGUGCGUAGGCGGGCCUUUAAGUCAGUGGUGAAAUCUCCCCGCUCAACGGGGAAACUGCCAUUGAUACUAUUGGUCUUGAAUUUAGUUGAGGUGGGCGGAAUGUGUCGUGUAGCGGUGAAAUGCUUAGAUAUGACACAGAACACCGAUUGCGAAGGCAGCUCGCUAAACUAAUAUUGACGCUGAGGCACGAAAGCGUGGAGAUCAAACAGG